rnacentral:tRNA from 2 species
GCCGAAAUGGCGGAAUUGGCAGACGCGCCGGACUCAAAAUCCGGUCUGGCUCAAACCAGGUGCCGGUUCGACCCCGGCUUUCGGCACCA